rnacentral:lncRNA from 10 species
AGCGUAAACCGGGAAGCGGAUCGCGUGGAGUGAAAGUCACCGCAGCGGCUGGAGUGCAAUGGCGAGAUCUCAGCUCACUGCAACUGCUGUCUCCCGGGUUCAAGCAAUUGUCCUGCCUCAGCCUCCUGAAUAGCUGGGAUUACAGGUGCCCACCACCACUACCAGGAGAUGGACAAACCAUGUGGGUGCCCUCCAGGUGUGUGCGACCAUGAAAUGGGAGACUAGCAGGACCCACGUUGGCCAACCGUGGACCUGGUCCCUCCAGUAGGAGUCGUGAGCCAGCUGAAUUUGAAUGCAAAGAUGGAGCAAGGGCCGACUGGAGUCACACUGACAUCCACCCCCAUAACAUGGGGACAGAUCAAGAAAACAAAGCAGGAAGCUGAGAAAAUGCUGGAGCAUCCAUGUGCUUGGCCAUGUUAGCAGUAGUGUCCUGUGAGGUAUGUUUCCCCUGUGUAGAGGCCAAAACAUACUGGGCAUAUGUUCCUAAUCACCCUGUAGUGUGACCUGUACUCUGGAGUGACAUUCCUCCUGAGGUAUAUCAUGAUCAGGGAGCGUGGGCU